UGGUUCAGAGGGAUGGGGAAGCGGUGAGUCACGGGGUGAAGGCUUGCGCCACGGGAAACUUUGGUAAGGCCAAGCUAUGAGGCAACAAAAAGUGAAUCACAACGCUAGAAGACACCUUAGGCCUCAACUGAGGCCAAACCCUGGCUGACGGAUGGGGAAACUGAGGCCUCAAAGGGACAGCAACUUGCUCAAGUUCACUUAGCAAGUGAACGAGCAGGAAUCAGGGGAUCUCCUCUCCCCCAGUCCCCUUUUCUCUCCACCAAGGAGGCUUUUCAACGAGAAUUCUGAGUUAAGGGGAUGGCGGAGACGCCAAGGGCAGCUCACAGAUUCCACCGAGGAGCCGGGAGAGGGCACAGGUAGGACCAGGAAGCACAGAAAUGCUGGGAUGGGGGCAGAAAUGAGCCGAGGAGGAGGCAGGGGCAGUAGCUAGGCAGGUGGGUGAGGCCAAAGGGAGCAGAAAAAGGCGGAAGAGAAAGGGACAGUGUGAGGACGGAGGAAAGUGCUGUGAGACUGGGUCUGAAGGGGCCUGGCGGGGUGGAGAGAGGGUGAGAGGAGAGAACAGAAUAAGUCUGACGAUGGAAAAGUCCAGGGAUCGCGAAGACAUUGAAGGGAGUCGGAGAGGGGGUCCCAGACCCGGCAAGAAGUCUGACCCGGAGAGUUCCAGGGUCAGACCAGACCCCGAGAAGCAAGAGAAACCUAAUACUCUUCCCCAUUGGCCUUCCUGUCUCCAUCUUUAUUCCUUCCAGUUCAUUCUCUACAUGACACUGUGAAUGCCAAACUGUCUGGAGGCUGCCAUGAGCGGCAAUUUGUGAUCUCUGCUUUACCUGAAUUAUUUCCCUGAAUUGUGACAUCAACCUCGCCACGUAGGUACUAUUAUUCUGCACACUGACACAAGGAAACUGAGGUUCAGAGAGGUGAAGUGACUUGCCAUGGUCACACAGCUAGGAGGGGGCAGAGCCAGAAUUCAAACCCAGCUCUGCUUGAUACCAAAGAUUGUAAUCUUUCUCUUUUUCUUUUUUUUUUGAGAUGGACUUUUAUUUAUUUAUUUAUUUAUUUUUUGAUACAGAGUUUACUCUUACUCUGACACUCACAUGUCCAGGAGUUUACUCUGUCACCCCGGCUGGAGUGCAAUGGUGAGAUCUUGGCUCACUGCAACCUCCGUCUCCUGGGUUCUAGAGAUU